rnacentral:rRNA from 1 species
UGGGGAAUAUUGGACAAUGGGGGCAACCCUGAUCCAGCGAUGCCGCGUGGGUGAAGAAGGCCUUCGGGUUGUAAAGCCCUUUAGGUUGGGAAGAAGUAGCCUAGUUGAAUAGACUAGGUUGUUGACGGUACCGACAGAAUAAGCACCGGCAAACUCUGUGCCAGCAGCCGCGGUAAUACAGAGGGUGCAAGCGUUAAUCGGAGUUACUGGGCGUAAAGGGCGCGUAGGCGGUAAAGUGAGUGUGAUGUGAAAGCCCUGGGCUUAACCUAGGAAGUGCAUCGCAAACGGCUUUACUGGAGUAUAAGAGAGGGUGGCGGAAUUUCCGGUGUAGCGGUGAAAUGCGUAGAGAUCGGAAGGAACGUCAAUGGCGAAGGCAGCCACCUGGCUUAAUACUGACGCU